rnacentral:rRNA from 1 species
CCUACGGGCGGCAGCAGUCGAGAGGCUUCGGCAAUGGGGGAAACCCUGACCGAGCGACGCCGCGUGAGGGAUGAAGGCCCUUGGGUUGUAAACCUCUUUUGUUCGGGAAGAAGUGCGAUCAGGUGAAUAAUCUGGUCGUUUGACGGUACCGGACGAAUAAGCUCCGGCUAACUCCGUGCCAGCAGCCGCGGUAACACGGGGGGAGCAAGCGUUGUUCGGAAUCACUGGGCGUAAAGGGAGUCUAGGCGGUCAGGUAAGUAAGGCGUGAAAUACCUCGGCUCACCCGAGGAGCGGCGUCUUAUACUGCUUGGCUUGAGUAUGGGAGAGGAUGUGGGAAUUCCUGGUGUAGCGGUGAAAUGCGUAGAUAUCAGGAGGAACACCGGUGGCGAAGGCGCACAUCUGGCCCAAUACUGACGCUGAAGCUCGAAAGCUAGGGGAGCAAACGGGAUUAGAUACCCGAGUAGUC